rnacentral:rRNA from 1 species
CGCGUAGGUGGUAGUGAAAGUCUAUGGUGGAAUCUUAGGGCUUAACCCUAAAACUGCCUUGGAAACUUCAUUACUUGAGUCAGUGAGGGGAGGGUAGAAUUCCUGGUGUAGCGGUGAAAUGCGUAGAUAUCAGGAGGAAGGCCGGUGGCGAAGGCGGCCCUCUGGCGCUGAACUGACGCUGAGGCGCGAAAGCGUGGGUAGCAAACAGGAUUAGAUACCCUGGUAGUCCACGCCCUAAACGGUGGGUACUAGGUGUAGGGCUCGUAAGGGUUCUGUGCCGAAGGGAAACCAUUAAGUACCCCGCCUGGGUAGUACGGCCGCAAGGUUGAA